UAUUUAAAAAUAUGUGCAUUAAAAAAAAUGGAUUUGUAACGAAAUUGAGCUUUUCCUAUAUCCCGCCCCCUCCUUUUGUCAGUGGCCAGAUCUCACCCAGAUGAUGGAGAGGCCCUACUUCAACUAAGGUUUCCUGACCCACUUUCCCUCCACUCCCCUGGCAGGUCCCACAGGGCUGUGCCACACAGCCAGGAAUCUGCUGAAUCACCUUCCUAUUUUUCUCCACAGGCCAAAAGUCACCAGGGAAGAGGGAUCAGGAGACCUACCUGCUUAGAGAGUUCCAAAGAAAUGUUUAUCCCAAGUAACUUCAAAAGAAAACAUUCACAGAGGGAGAUUUCCACAGACAUUCGCUCAGACCCCAAAACCAACAGAUGGUACUCAUGUUCCUGUCUGUCGUCCCGUGUCCUCACUGAUGAAAGCGACAGUUCGAGAAACAGAUGCUAGUUGUCAAAGACAGCCACGGUGCUGGGAAGGCCUGACUGCAGACUGGCGAUCAACUCUACAUCCUGUGAAAAACACUUUUCAUAGGCUUAAAAAAGAUCUGUGUUUAA